CGUGUAGGCGGUACGGUAAGUCGGACGUAAAAGCUCCUGGCUCAACUGGGAGAGGUCGUUCGAAACUGCCGAACUUGAGGACGGUAGAGGAGAGUGGAAUUCCGGGUGUAGUGGUGAAAUGCGUAGAUAUCCGGAGGAACACCAGUGGCGAAGGCGGCUCUCUGGGCCGGUCCUGACGCUGAGACGCGAAAGCUAGGGUAGCAAACG
rnacentral:rRNA from 1 species